GACGAACGCUGGCGGCGUGCUUAACACAUGCAAGUCGAACGGAGUGGCGAGCGGGCGAGUAACAAGUGGGUGACCAGCCCUGCAAUUCGGGAUAAGCCUGGGUAGCUGGGGCUAAUACCGGAUAGUGUGGGAUGGGCGCUGGGCCUAUCGGCUUGUUGGUGGGGUAUUGGCCUACCAAGGCGGCGACGGGUAGCCGGCCUGGGAGGGUGGACGGCCACAAUGGGCCUGAGAGACGGCCCAGACGGCUACGGGGGGCAGCGGUGGGGAGUAUUACGCAAUGGUCGGAAGUGUGAGGCAGCGGCGCCGCGUGGGUGAUGACGGCCUUCGGGGUGUAAACGCCUUUCACCAUCGACGCGGUAGAUGGAGAAGAAGCACCGGCUAACUACGUGCCAGCAGCCGCGGUAAUUC
rnacentral:rRNA from 1 species